rnacentral:rRNA from 1 species
UACGGAGGGUGCGAGCGUUGUCCGGAAUCACUGGGCGUAAAGGGCGCGUAGGCGGCGCGAGUAGUCAACGGUGAAAGCCCGGGGCUCAACUCCGGGUCGGCCGUGCGAACUGCUUUGCUCGAGCACUGUAGAGGCAGGUGGAAUUCCGGGUGUAGCGGUGGAAUGCGUAGAGAUCCGGAAGAACACCAGUGGCGAAGGCGGCCUGCUGGGCAGUUGCUGACACUGAGGCGCGACAGCGUGGGGAGCAAACAGG